ensembl:piRNA 21ur-1716 ncRNA
UUGCUCUGCCGCAAUUAAAGC